GAUGAAGAACGCAGCGAAAUGCGACAAGUAAUGUGAAUUGCAGAAUUCAGUGAAUCAUCGAAUCUUUGAACGCACCUUGCACCCUUUGGCUAUUCCGAAGGGUAUGCCUGUUUGAGUAUCAUGAACACCUCAACUCUCAUGGUUUGCCAUGAUGAGCUUGGACUUUGGGGGUCUUGCUGGCCUGUGGUCAGCUCCUCUCAAAUGGAUUAGCUUGCCAGUGUUUGGUGGCAUCACAGGUGUGAUAACUAUCUACGCUUGUGGUUUUCCACCAGGUAACCUUCAGCAAUGGGGGUUCGCUGGGGCUCAUAAAUGUCUCUCCUCAGUGAGGACAGCUCUUUGAACGUUUGAUCUCAAAUCAGGUAGGACUACCCGCUGAACUUAAGCAUAUCAAUAAGCGGAGGA
rnacentral:misc_RNA from 1 species